UUUCCGUAGGUGAACCUGCGGAAGGAUCAUUACCUGAAUAUGGGCUUCGGCCCUCAUUCUACCCUUGUGUAUCUUACCUUUGUUGUUCCCUCGGCGGGUCUCCCGCCGAUGGGUACCCACAAACCCUUUUGCAUUUAGCAUCAAAAUUCUGAUAAAACAUAAAUAAUCACAACUUUCAACAAUGGAUCUCUUGGUUCUGGCAUCGAUGAAGAACGCAGC
rnacentral:misc_RNA from 1 species